CACACUAAACAAAUAGUAAAGAGUCAGAAACUUAAUUAGGUUGACAUGAGCAGCUUUUUUCCCCCUUUUCAUGAAGGCAUUAUAGGCUAAGAGCAUAGUUAUGCUUUUUGCUGGGAUUAUUCUUAGCUUUUGGGAGGACGUAAUUAUGGUGAUAACUCCCAGGUUCUACAACGACUGCCAUGAGUCCUUUAUUUUCGACCUCUUGAACAGCUUUGAAAAUCAUAGCUUUAUGUAUUUAUAUUCUGUUUCAUAAGACAGAAUUUCAAAAUUUGAAUUCCGUUCCUGGGUAUCCUGUUUACUUCUGUAAGAACUUAUAUAAACCCGUUGUUCUCUCCUAACACUUUAGUUUCUGAAGGUGUACAAGGGGAAGCAAAACUGGAAGGUACCCUCCCAAUCUUCCCAGCCAUGGUUCUAAAAUAUAAGCCACUGCACCUGUUGUUACCAUCACGCCUGUUGUUACUGUUACUGAUGUGACUUCAGUUACCGCCAUGGUGGCUGUUACUACUCCUGUUGCUGCUGCUAUUUCUACUACUACAAACACUGCUAUUGCUCCUUCGUAUUUACAUACAGGUUUCAUUUACAAAGAGUGUUGCCCUAUAUUUUCUAGUGUAAAACUGGAAAGCGGAUGCCACCUGUGUCCUGGAGGAGGCAAGCUGUUUCCUAAAUACAAGAAAGACCCAAGAUUUUCUUAUCAGCCACAUUUUUCUUCCUCAGUCAGCUACCACCUCAAGAAAUUUUUCUUUGACUGAGUCAACCCCUGCAUUCCUAUAGUUGGAUUCAUCUUGAUUAAAAACAAAGUUAAUUUGAUGGUGUUGGGUUUCUCUAUGUCCAACAGUGAGAGGACUGACUCAGAAUUCUUGGCUACUGCCACUCUAGCAAAGUAUCAUAUUAUUUUAAAAUGUUGUUGUUUACCAAAUCCAAAUGUUUCUACCUAAAAAUUGUUAUAUUUGAAUAUUUCCUCUGAGGGACAGAAAUGAUUGAUGCUACUUGCCUUCUUGAGUAUUAAUGAAAAGUUUCCCAUGAGUCCUUCAUUCAUCAGAGACAGAUGACAGGCUUUGUAAGCAGGUUUCCAUGUUGCUCUGUUUCUGCAGAGUCACCUAUACCCCAGUGUCUUUAAGGAGAAAAUGACUAUCAGUUCUGUUGCAAUCCAUAUUUAUUCUAAGCCAUGCCUUUUGGAUGUUAGGGUAUUAUUUAAGAUCAAAUAAUCACUUUUUUCUUUAAUAGAUUUACCUUAUUAUUUCAGCCAUGGUACUUAUGGAAAUCAUUAAAAAGCACCAAUAACAAGAAUUAAACACAUAUUUGGUUUUGAAACAGGGAGGUAUUUGGCUCAUGGAAUUUCAGACAUGGAAUGGCCUCGAGGGUGCCCAUAGCUGAUAUGGAAGCAGACUGUGUUGCUCCCUAACCCUGGCUCAAAGGAGUACACUUUCCUAAAGUCUUUCUUUGUCCCAAAGCCAGGUUUGCAUACGUCUCUGAUUUUGGCUCUCUUCCGAUAUACAUAACAACCUCCGUUUUGUGCCAAGUAUUUAGGCCAUUCCUGAGGUGAAUAGGAGAGGUUCCGUGCAGCCUUCCUUCAUAAUUUGGAGAUCUCGGUGUUCAGUGAUCAUCUAUCUCUUCUUGUUGUGGCAUAAUUAAUUCACGAAUCUUGUGACUAGAACAACACUGACCCAUAAGCCCUAAAAUACUUCCAAGUGAAUUCAGCAUUCUUGAUACACCAAGGAUGAUGAUGCUUUGAAUCCCCUUUGCUCUAAGGGCUUCCUGCUGGCCACCCUCAAUUGAACAAAGUGGCUUUUUGGGUGAUAUAAUAUUUACAUAAAAUGGAGGAAAGGGAAAAGCAAACUAUUCUAAAACAGAAAAGAAUGGCAGUAAUGAUGGGUGGUCCUUUUACCCAUCAGGAAAUGGAAGAAAUGAAAGUUAUAUGAGAUCCUGACCUGAAGAUCAAUAGGACAGAAACAUAGUUGCCUAGGAGUGUUAACCUGUGACCCUCAUGCAGGUAAGGGUCAAUGUAGUUUGUACCAAUUUCGCUAAGUGCGUCCUUAAUAAGCCUGCCUCCAUAAAAUCACCAUGUCACAGAAUUGCUUUGAAAAAUGAGAGUUGCUAUGUGCGGUGGAUUUCACAUAGAAAAGACUGGAAAAGUGACUGUCCCCUUGCACACUUGCCACACUCGGGUCCGAAUGAACACUGUCAUCACUACAGACGGAAGCAGAACUCCUUCCUCCCUCUUUCAUGGGGAGGGGUGACAUGGUCCUGAAUGGCAUUCGGCCCCCUGAGUUUUAAAUUUGCGUCCCAGGGAAGGUAUGGCAAGAAGCCGUUGCUGUUGGCCCAUGUGGGUUGGGGAGGGGAGUAGAGGGUAGGAGACAGUCAAAUGAAACCAUCUCGCAGCUGUGAGCAAGCUCUGAUUCCGGCAGGCUGUGGAGCAUUUGACAGAGCUUUUCAGAAAUGGAACAUUUGAACUUGAUGUGAACACCUGGCGUUGUCUUUGUUCAAUGCAUCGUGGGGGGAAUCUCACACACACUGCUUCUUCACUGAACACUGUAAUCACACGAGGUUGACACAGCUCUGUGGUCUAUUCCGGACUCCACCUGUGAAGAGGGAGGGUGGGUGGAGACUAUCAUGGGAUUAUGGGUAGAUGUCCCCGACACCACAGGGAUAGCGGUAAGAAGGUUUCGUUUUGGACAGGGAAAUGGUAACUUCUCAUUUAGUGCCUCCUGGUCCAGGUCCUUCUGCUUGGUUCCCUAUGCAAGAGUUCCUUCCUUCUUUCCUUCUUUCCUUCCUUCCUUCCUCCCUCCCUCCCUUUCUUCCACCACAUCUGCAGCAUAUGGAAGUUCUCAGGCUAAGGUUAGAAUCAGGGCCACAGCCACUGGCCUACACCACAACUUUAUCUUCCUUGUUCAAUAUCAUAUCCCUGGAGUUUAUAGUAGUCCUGACAUCCAAUGCUAAUUAUUAAGUACUUAGUAAACAUUGGACAAAUAAAUAAAUGGAUACAUAGGAACAUUUUUGUGUGGCGGCCACAAUGAGAAUUUAAAUUUUUAUCACAAUCUAAGCAUAUUUUUAUGAUAUACUUAAUAUUUUAAUCUGUAAUUUUUGAACUGAUAAUAUUAAUUCAAAAUCUGGUAAUAAUUGCCUUUUUCUGGUUGGAAUGAGACCUUUGGUCUUUAACUGUAACCAGAAUAAGGCAACUAUUGCCAGAUUUUUAAUUAUCAUAAUUAAUAUUAUCAGCCCAAAAAUUCAUGGGACUAUCCCAGCAGGUAGAGUUUUUGAGGCCACUUGAGCUUCUCUGAGUCAUGUCUUUGUUUUUGUUUUCCUGAAAAUUGCAAAUCACUGUUGGAACCUGAAUCUUUUUACAUUUGGAAGGAUCAAAACAUUGAUAACUUACUGGCUUACAACUAAUAUUUCCAUGUUUUUAAAAUGCGUUUAUUUAUUUCAAUUUAUUUUGGAUGCCAUACCACAUAUGGAGCUCCCAGGCCAGGGAUCAGAUCUGAGCCACAGCUGCAACCUACACCACAGCUGUGGCAAUGCUGGAUCCUUUAACCCACUGUGCCAGGCCGAGCAUUGUACCUGUGUCCUGGUGCUGCAGAGAUGCCACUGAUCCUGUUGUACCAUGGCAGAAACUCCAAUCUUUCUACAUUUCAAAUAUGCGAUUUUAGUAUCUUUUUAUAUGUGACUCGAUGAAGAGAAAGCUAGGGGACUUUUGUUAGGAGACAAAGCUUUGACACCAUCUGCUAGAAAUAGGGGCUGUCUCUUCAUCUCCCUGGGCUCAGCUUUCUCAUUUGUAAAUGGGGGUCUUUGGGGCCAGGGCUUUCAGGAAACAUAUAUCUAUAUUAUUUUCACAUGUGGUGUUUUGGGAGGAAAGUCUGCCUACUUCUCAUCAGUGUUUCUUUCUGAAGGAUCCAUUUCUGCCCACAGCUUCUCAAACAGAUAGAUCAAAAUCACUCAAUCACCCAUCAGUCUGUCAAACAAACGGAAAACUUUUCCAGUGAGCAGCUGGUGUCUGGGUUUUUCCCCUUCUGGGUCUGUUUCUCUGGAAGCACGGGGUGAGGGCACGGGCUGCGGGUCCAUGAAGUUCUCUGCCGCAAGCCUGGUGCUUCCAGAGUCAGUGCCCAGAGCAAGCUUGUUGAUGUAAGAGAACUAUCCUGGGUCCUAGGGCCCCCUUCUCCCUCCCUCCUCCACCCUGCUGGGUGGACAAACACAGAAGCAAACAGGAGGAGAGAGGGAGGCCCAGGGGGAAUUUUUACAGUGGAAUCGAAACUGUUGGAAUGAAAGGUGUCGCCUGAAGAUUUCCCAUCUCUCCCAGGGCAGAAAUGUAGGAGAUCUUAAGUUUAAAGGAUGGCAGAGAAAACGGAGUGAAAAAGAGGACCCUGGAAUGGGUUGGAAGUAGUACUGGAAUUGGAAAGAAAAGACCAAAUAGAAUAAACUUCUACUCUGCCCUCGAGACCACCCUAGAGACGGCUCGGUUUCUCCCCUUGUCUUGGGCUUAUCCUCCUGAGCUGUCCCCAGUCUUUUUUCUCAGUCACUUCCUUAGCCAUGGCACCUGUUGAUACAGUGACUCAUAUUUCAGCCUUGCCAUCCCUUGGCAAACACUGCUCUUGAUCCAUGGCGUUCCUCACAGAAUCCCAAAGCAUCACAUGCUCUUAUAAUUGUUUCUCAUUUAAAGUACACUCUAGGAGCUCCCGUAGUGGCUCAGCGGCAGCCUACCCAACUAGCAUCCAUGAGGAUGCGGGUCUGAUCCCUGGACCUGUUCAGUGGGUUAAGGAUACGGCAUUGCCAUGAGCUGUGGUGUAGGUCACAGAUGCGGCUCGGAUCUAGUAUUGCUGUGGCUGCGGUGUAGGCUGGCAGCUGCAGCUCUGAUUCGACCUCUAGCCUUGGAACCUCC
rnacentral:lncRNA from 1 species